rnacentral:rRNA from 1 species
GAUGAACGCUGGCGGCGUGCCUAAUACAUGCAAGUCGAGCGAACAGACGAGGAGCUUGCUCCUCUGACGUUAGCGGCGGACGGGUGAGUAACACGUGGAUAACCUACCUAUAAGACUGGGAUAACUUCGGGAAACCGGAGCUAAUACCGGAUAAUAUAUUGAACCGCAUGGUUCAAUAGUGAAAGACGGUUUUGCUGUCACUUAUAGAUGGAUCCGCGCCGCAUUAGCUAGUUGGUAAGGUAACGGCUUACCAAGGCAACGAUGCGUAGCCGACCUGAGAGGGUGUACGGCCACACGGAAAAGGGAACGCGCUCCAGACCCCAAGGGGGGGGAGAAGGAGGGAAUUUUCCGAAAGGGGCAAAAGCCUGACGGAGCAACGCCGGGGGAGUGAAGAAGGUUUGCGGUUUGUAAAACUCUGUUAUUAGGGAAAAAAAAAUGUGUAAGUAACUAUGCACGUUUUGACGGUACCUAAUCAGAAACCCCGGGCAAACUACG